GAUGAACGCUGGCGGCGUGCCUAAUACAUGCAAGUCGAGCGAACGGACGAGAAGCUUGCUUUUCUGAUGUUAGCGGCGGACGGGUGAGUAACACGUGGUUAACCUACCUAUAAGACUGGGACAACUUCGGGAAACCGGAGCCAAUACCGGAUCAUAUUUUGAACCGCAUGGUUCAAAAGUGAAAGACGGUCUGGCUGUCACUUAUAGAUGGAUCCGCGCUGCAUUAGCUAGUUGGUAAGGUAACGGCUUACCAAGGCAACGAUGCAUAGCCGACCUGAGAGGGUAAUCGGCCACACUGGAACUGAGACACGGUCCAGACUCCUACGGGAGGCAGCAGUAGGGAAUCUUCCGCAAUGGGCGAAAGCCUGACGGAGCGACGCCGCGUGAGUGAUGAAGGUCUUCGGAUCGUAAAACUCUGUUAUUAGGGAAGAACAUAUGUGUAAGUAACUGUGCACAUCUUGACGGUACCUAAUCAGAAAGCCACGGCUAACUACGU
rnacentral:rRNA from 1 species